rnacentral:rRNA from 1 species
UACGAAGGGGGCUAGCGUUGUCCGGAUUUAUUGGGCGUAAAGAGCUCGUAGGCGGCUUGUCGCGUCGACUGUGAAAACCCGCAGCUCAACUGUGGGCUUGCAGCCGAUACGGGCAGGCUAGAGUUCGGUAGGGGAGACUGGAAUUCUUGGUGUAGCGGUGAAAUGCGUAGAUAUCAAGAGGAACACCUGCGGCGAAGGCGGGUUGCUGGGCCGACACGUGACGCUGAAGCGCGAAAGCCAGGGGAGCGAACGGG